UACGAAGGGGGCUAGCGUUGUUCGGAUUUACUGGGCGUAAAGCGCACGUAGGCGGAUUGUUAAGUCGGGGGUGAAAUCCUGGAGCUCAACUCCAGAACUGCCUCGAUACUGGCAUCUCGAGUCCGGAAGAGGUAAGUGGAACUCCUAGUGUAGAGGUGGAAUUCGUAGAUAUUAGGAAGAACACCAGUGGCGAAGGCGGCUUACUGGUCCGGUACUGACGCUGAGGUGCGAAAGCGUGGGGAGCAAACAGGG
rnacentral:rRNA from 1 species